UAUUCCUGUACUUGGUGUUACUGCGAAGGGGGGACGGAGAAGGCUAUGUUGGCCGGGCGACGGUUGUCCCGGUUUAAGCGUGUAGGCUGGUUUUCCAGGCAAAUCCGGAAAAUCAAGGCUGAGGCGUGAUGACGAGGCACUACGGUGCUGAAGCAACAAAUGCCCUGCUUCCAGGAAAAGCCUCUAAGCAUCAGGUAACAUCAAAUCGUACCCCAAACCGACACAGGUGGUCAGGUAGAGAAUACCAAGGCGCUUGAGAGAACUCGGGUGAAGGAACUAGGCAAAAUGGUGCCGUAACUUCGGGAGAAGGCACGC
rnacentral:rRNA from 1 species